rnacentral:rRNA from 1 species
CGGCGGACGGGUGAGUAACGCGUGGGUAACCUGCCUCAUACAGGGGGAUAACAGUUGGAAACAGCUGCUAAUACCGCAUAAGCGCACAGUACCGCAUGGUACCGUGUGAAAAACUCCGGUGGUAUGAGAUGGACCCGCGUCUGAUUAGCUAGUUGGUGGGGUAACGGCCUACCAAGGCGACGAUCAGUAGCCGACCUGAGAGGGUGACCGGCCACAUUGGGACUGAGACACGGCCCAA